GACGAACGCUGGCGGCGUGCUUAACACAUGCAAGUCGAACGGAAAGGCCCUGCUUGCAGGGUACUCGAGUGGCGAACGGGUGAGUAACACGUGGGUGAUCUGCCCUGCACUUCGGGAUAAGCCUGGGAAACUGGGUCUAAUACCGGAUAGGAGCCAUUUUUAGUGUGAUGGUUGGAAAGUUUUUUCGGUGUAGGAUGAGCUCGCGGCCUAUCAGCUUGUUGGUGGGGUAAUGGCCUACCAAGGCGGCGACGGGUAGCCGGCCUGCGAGGGUGGACGGCCAUACUGGGACUGAGGUGAGGCAGAGAUAGCGACGGGAGGGAGAAGGGGGGAAGAUUGAACGAUGGGCGCCAGCCGGAUGCAGCGAGGCCGCGUGGGGGAUGACGGUCUUCGGGGUGUAAAACCCAUGCGUUAGGGACGAAGCUCUUCGUGACGGUACCUAGAUAAGAAGCCCCGGCUAACUACGUG
rnacentral:rRNA from 1 species